AUUGAACGCUGGCGGCAUGCUUUACACAUGCAAGUCGAACGGUAACAGGCCUUCGGGUGCUGCCGAGUGGCGAACGGGUGCGUAAUGCUUCGGAACGUACCCAGAGGUGGGGGUUAACGCAGCGAAAGCUGUGCUAAUACCGCAUGUGAUCUGAGGAUGAAAGCGGGGGACAGCGCGGCAAUGUUUGGCCUCGCGCCUUUGGAGCGGCCGAUGUCGGAUUAGCUAGUUGGUGGGGUAAAGGCCUACCAAGGCGACGAUCCGUAGCUGGUCUGAGAGGACGACCAGCCACACUGGGACUGAGACACGGCCCAGACUCCUACGGGAGGCAGCAGUGGGGAAUUUUGGACAAUGGGCGCAAGCCUGAUCCAGCAAUGCCGCGUGCGUGAAGAAGGCCUUCGGGUUGUAAACCGCUUUUGUCAGGAACGAAACGGUGUCCGCUAAUACCGGGCGCUAAUGACGGUACCUGCAGAAUAAGCACCGGCUAACUACGUG
rnacentral:rRNA from 1 species